rnacentral:rRNA from 1 species
UCCGGUGAGACUAACGGAGAGGCCACACCUGUUCCCAUCCCGAACACAGUCGUUAAGCUCUCUUGUGCCGAGAAUACCUGGCUGGAGACGGCCAGGGAAGGUAGGUCCUCGCCGGAU